AAUGAACGCUGGCGGCAGGCCUAACACAUGCAAGUCGAACGAGUGGCGGACGGGAGAGAAAUGUCAGGGAAACUGCCAGAAGGAGGGGGAUAACUACUGGAAACGGUAGCUAAUACCGAAUAGCAUCGGAUGAGACCAGAGGGGAUUAGCUAGUAGGUGGGGUAACGGCUCACCUAGGCGACGAUCCAGAGCUGGUCGGAGAGGAUGACCAGCCACACUGGACCUGAGACACGGUCCAGACUCCUACGGGAGGCAGCAGUGGGGAAUAUUGCGCAAUGGGCGCAAGCCUGAUGCAGCCAUGCCGCGUGUAUGAAGAAGGCCUUCGGGUUGUAAAGUACUUUCAGCGAGGAGGCGUUACUCGCAGAAGAAGCACCGGCUAACUCCGUGCCAGCAGCCGCGGUAAUAC
rnacentral:rRNA from 1 species